rnacentral:rRNA from 1 species
GACGGAAGGUGCAAGCGUUGCUCGGAAUCACUGGGCGUAAAGGGUGCGUAGGCGGCUUCUUAAGUCUGGUGUGAAAGCCCAGGGCUCAGCUCUGGAAGUGCACUAGAUACUGGGAAGCUUGAGUACCGGAGGGGAGAGUGGAAUUCCUGGUGUAGCGGUGAAAUGCGUAGAUAUCAGGAGGAAUACCGGUGGCGAAAGCGACUCUCUGGACGGUUACUGACGCUGAGAAGCGAAAGCAUGGGGAGCGAACAGG